rnacentral:rRNA from 1 species
GUGAGGAAUUUUCCGCAAUGGGCGAAAGCCUGACGGAGCAAUGCCGCGUGAAGGAUGAAGGCCUAUGGGUUGUAAACUUCUUUUCUCAGAAAAGAAUUAUGACGGUAUCUGAGGAAUAAGCAUCGGCUAACUCUGUGCCAGCAGCCGCGGUAAGACAGAGGAUGCAAGCGUUAUCCGGAAUGAUUGGGCGUAAAGCGUCUGUAGGUUGUUUAAACAGUAUUCUGUCAAAGAUUAGGGCUUAACCCUAGAUAGGCAGAAUAAACUUUUAAGCUAGAGGUUGGUAGAGGCAGAGGAAGUUCCCGGUGGAGCGGUGAAAUGCGUAGAUAUCGGGAGGAACACCAAAGGCGAAGGCACUCUGCUGGGCCAAUACUAACACUGAGAGACGAAAGCGAGGGGAGCAAAUGGGAUUAGAUACCCCUGUAGUCC